GACGAACGCUGGCGGCGUGCUUAACACAUGCAAGUCGAACGGAAAGGCCCUGCUUUUGUGGGGUGCUCGAGUGGCGAACGGGUGAGUAACACGUGAGUAACCUGCCCUUGACUUUGGGUUAACUUCAGGAAACUGGGGCUAAUACCGGAUAGGAGCUCCUGCUGCAUGGUGGGGGUUGGAAAGUUUCGGCGGUUGGGGAUGGACUCGCGGCUUAUCAGCUUGUUGGUGGGGUAGUGGCUUACCAAGGCUUUGACGGGUAGCCGGCCUGAGAGGGUGACCGGCCACAUUGGGACUGAGAUACGGCCCAGACUCCUACGGGAGGCAGCAGUGGGGAAUAUUGCACAAUGGGCGGAAGCCUGAUGCAGCAACGCCGCGUGCGGGAUGACGGCCUUCGGGUUGUAAACCGCAUUCGCCUGUGACGAAGCGUGAGUGACGGUAAUGGGUAAAGAAGCACCGGCUAACUACGUG
rnacentral:rRNA from 1 species